UACGGAGGGUGCAAGCGUUGUCCGGAAUCACUGGGCGUAAAGGGUGCGUAGGUGGCAGGGUAAGUCGGAUGUGAAAUCCCGGGGCUCAACCUCGGAACUGCAUUCGAUACUGCUUUGCUGGAGUACUGGAGAGGAGAUUGGAAUUUACGGUGUAGCAGUGAAAUGCGUAGAUAUCGUAAGGAAGACCAGUGGCGAAGGCGGAUCUCUGGACAGUUACUGACACUGAGGCACGAAGGCCAGGGGAGCAAACGGG
rnacentral:rRNA from 1 species